rnacentral:lncRNA from 1 species
CCCCGAUACCCAGAUCGUCUGCCACUAGCACCACAAUGUUGGGAAGGCUCUGACGGCGAGUCUGUUGCUCCUGUUUCUCCUGUUGUUGCUGCUCUUUUACAGGUUCUUCCUGUUGCUGAUAGUACUGCAGUAGUAGUCCAAAGCCACCAGAGGCUAUCACGCCAACCACCACCACCACAGCCCACCACCUGACAUUCACCUCUACCAUUUUGCUGUGACGGCAGAUAAUAUACCUGACUUACCAGGGGACAACAAACUUUAAUGGCCUCGACGAGGACAGGACGCCGGCGGUUUGUCGAAGGUCCCUCCACUUGAGUCUUGUAUCUUGGAUCCAACAGGCAAGAUGAUCCCCCUCCACUUGGAUCUCUUCCAGGAACACCAAGGCCAAACCUACAAUGAACCUGCUUGAUGGGAUUCUGGGAAUUCUUCUACUCCCCAAGCCUGGCCCGAGGCCAGGCUUGACUUGUGAGAGCUUGGUCCAACAGGAGUUUGCUUGGAGCGCCCACAAGCCUACAUAUCCACCACAGCCCGGUUGGUCCAGCACUUCUUGAAGAAAACUAUCUAGUUUUCUCUUGAAGAUGUCCACGGUUGUUCCAGCAAUAUUUCUUAUCAGAUUUCAUUUACUGUAAUGUAAUGUACUUUAUUAUAGUACUAUAAUGUACUGAACAAAAAUCAGCAAUUAGAACAAUAACAAACUCCAGUCCCAUACACCACUGUGCUUCCUCACUGAAAUCUUUGAACAUGUUAAAUAUCAAAUCUCUGCACAUACUGUCAAGGAUACUCCAUAUCAAUAAAACUCUGAACUGCAAUGUCAAUCCUGACCUUAGUGCUUUCUGGAAAGCUGUAACAGAAAUCAUGGGCACCACACGAGAAACAAAAACUCGGAUAUUCCUAGAGACUCAACCAAAGCAGAAAUGCUAUGUAACUCAAGGGUCCCAAAUUGUAGAAUGACCUCCCAAAUGUAAUUAAAAGCUGUACAUCUUCUAACCAGUUUAAAAAAAAAGGAUACUAAGAAAUACUUUAUAUCAUGUAACUAAUUUUACUCGUAUUUCCCCUCGUAAUAAGGUAUUUUUGUGUUACUAUUAUCUUCAAUUGUAUUUAAAAUUUAUGUCCUUUCUUCAGUGUCAUCUGAUUAUUGUAUACAUAUUUGUAAAAUUGCUUACUGAAAGACCUAAAUGAUUGCCUUGUUUAUUUGUAAGUGUGUAGCAAGUAUACUAUGUCAGUAAUAUACUUGCCCCAUAUUCUCAUUAGUAUACAUGAAGAUAAUGAGAUGGCUCUGUUAAUUCUACCUAGUCCACAAAUUACAAUUAAUACCUCUUCCCAAGUGUAGUUAAUAUUUAUUUAUUUAUUUAUAUAUAUACAAGAAUGUACAU